rnacentral:rRNA from 1 species
AAAUGAAUUGACGGGGGCCCGCACAAGCGGUGGAGCAUGUGGUUUAAUUCGAGGCAACGCGAAGAACCUUACCAAGGCUUGACAUGGGGACGAAAGCUGCGGAAACGCGGCCGCCCUUCGGGGCGUCCCACACAGGUGGUGCAUGGUUGUCGUCAGCUCGUGUCGUGAGAUGUUGGGUUAAGUCCCGCAACGAGCGCAACCCUUGCGCCCAGUUGCCAGCACGUAGAGGUGGGCACACUGGGGGGACUGCCGUGGACAACACGGAGGAAGGUGGGGACGACGUCAAAUCAUCAUGCCCCUUAUGUCUUGGGCUACACACGUGCUACAAUGGGCGCUACAAAGUGAUGCGAGGCAGCGAUGCUAAGCGGAACACGAAAGGCGCCCCCAGUUCGGAUUGCAGGCUGCAACCCGCCUGCAUGAAGCCGGAAUCGCUAGUAAUCGCGAAUCAGCAUGUCGCGGUGAAUACGUUCCCGGGCCUUGUACACACCGCCCGU